GUUGAGGAUGCCAAGGAUGAUGGGAAGCCUGACCUUGUUUUUCGGAAAACAGCUGAGCCCAGGAGGUUCCAGACCCUGGAUACCUGAGACACAUCGACUUGCUUCUUAGGUUUGGAGUGCAUAAUGAGGAGAAAUAAAAAUAGAAAGAUCUCCAGAAAGAAGCCAUGGGAAGAUUCAAGGCUUCCCAGUCCAAGCUAAUACCUGUGGACACUUGACCAAGUGAGCUGAGAAAACUGGAUUCCUGGCAAAACAAGCGUAACUAGACUCAGGCAAGGGUGGAGCACAGAGGGCAACUAGAUGAAAUGAAAAGAAUGCCCAGGCAUCCCAGUGCCCCCAUUGAUGUUCCAGAACUUCGUCGACCAUGCAGAAUACCUUCCAGCCCCGUGAACACUAAUCACUCAGUCAGUAAUGGUGAACUUCUAACUGCGCUUUGGCUCAAUAUUCUCAUGAUUGAUGAUCGUUCAGAAUCAAGCUCAGAAGCUCCCAGCUCCCAG
ensembl:processed_transcript